rnacentral:rRNA from 1 species
AUUGAACGCUGGCGGCAGGCCUAACACGUGCAAGUCGAGCGGAUGAAGGGAGCUUGCUCCUGGAUUCAGCGGCGGACGGGUGAGUAAUGCCUAGGAAUCUGCCUGGUAGUGGGGGAUAACGUCCGGAAACGGGCGCUAAUACCGCAUACGUCCUGAGGGAGAAAGUGGGGGAUCUUCGGACCUCACGCUAUCAGAUGAGCCUAGGUCGGAUUAGCUAGUUGGUGGGGUAAAGGCCUACCAAGGCGACGAUCCGUAACUGGUCUGAGAGGAUGAUCAGUCAAACUGAAACUGGACAACGGUCCGGCUCCCUACGGAAGGCGGCGGGGGGGAUAUUUGACCAAUGGGCGAAAGCCCAUUCAGCCAUGCCGCGUGUGUGAAGAAGGUCUUCGGAUUGUAAAGCACUUUAAGUUGGGAGGAAGGGCAGUAAGUUAAUACCUUGCUGUUUUGACGUUACCAACAGAAUAAGCACCGGCUAACUUCGUG